rnacentral:rRNA from 1 species
UGGGGAAUAUUGCACAAUGGGCGCAAGCCUGAUGCAGCCAUGCCGCGUGUGUGAAGAAGGCCUUCGGGUUGUAAAGCACUUUCAGCGAGGAGGAAGGGUAGUGUGUUAAUAGCACAUUGCAUUGACGUUACUCGCAGAAGAAGCACCGGCUAACUCCGUGCCAGCAGCCGCGGUAAUACGGAGGGUGCAAGCGUUAAUCGGAAUUACUGGGCGUAAAGCGCACGCAGGCGGUUUGUUAAGUCAGAUGUGAAAUCCCCGCGCUUAACGUGGGAACUGCAUUUGAAACUGGCAAGCUAGAGUCUUGUAGAGGGGGGUAGAAUUCCAGGUGUAGCGGUAAAAUGCGUAGAGAUCUGGAGGAAUACCGGUGGCGAAGGCGGCCCCCUGGACAAAGACUGACGCUCAGGUGCGAAAGCGUGGGGAGCAAACA